rnacentral:tRNA from 1 species
UGGGGUGUAGACAAGUGGCAAGUCAUCGGAUUUUGAUUCCGACAUUCGAAGGUUCGAAUCCUUCCACCCCAG